GAAUUCGCCCUUAGAGUUUGAUCCUGGCUCAGGAUGAACGCUGGCGGCGCGCCUAACACAUGCAAGUCGAACGGCACCCCUCUCCGGAGGGAAGCGAGUGGCGAACGGCUGAGUAACACGUGGAGAACCUGCCCCCUCCCCCGGGAUAGCCGCCCGAAAGGACGGGUAAUACCGGAUACCCCGGGGUGCCGCAUGGCACCCCGGCUAAAGCCCCGACGGGAGGGGAUGGCUCCGCGGCCCAUCAGGUAGACGGCGGGGUGACGGCCCACCGUGCCGACAACGGGUAGCCGGGUUGAGAGACCGACCGGCCAGAUUGGGACUGAGACACGGCCCAGACUCCUACGGGAGGCAGCAGUGGGGAAUCUUGCGCAAUGGGGGGAACCCUGACGCAGCGACGCCGCGUGCGGGACGGAGGCCUUCGGGUCGUAAACCGCUUUCAGCAGGGAAGAGUCAAGACUGUACCUGCAGAAGAAGCCCCGGCUAACUACGUGCCAGCAGCCGCGGUAAUACGUAGGGGGCGAGCGUUAUCCGGAUUCAUUGGGCGUAAAGCGCGCGUAGGCGGCCCGGCAGGCCGGGGGUCGAAGCGGGGGGCUCAACCCCCCGAAGCCCCCGGAACCUCCGCGGCUUGGGUCCGGUAGGGGAGGGUGGAACACCCGGUGUAGCGGUGGAAUGCGCAGAUAUCGGGAGGAACACCAGUGGCGAAGGCGGUCUACUGGGCACCAACUGACGCUGAGGCUCGAAAGCAUGGGUAGCAAACAGGAUUAGAUACCCUGGUAGUCCAUGCCGUAAACGAUGAUUACUAGGUGUUGGGGGAUUGACCCCCUCAGUGCCGCAGUUAACACAAUAAGUAAUCCACCUGGGGAGUACGACCGCAAGGUUGAAACUCAAAGGAAUUGACGGGGGCCCGCACAAGCAGUGGAGUAUGUGGUUUAAUUCGAAGCAACGCGAAGAACCUUACCAGGUCUUGACAUCCGAUGCAUAGCAUAGAGAUGUGUGAAAUCCUUCGGGACAUCGAGACAGGUGGUGCAUGGUUGUCGUCAGCUCGUGUCGUGAGAUGUUGGGUUAAGUCCCGCAACGAGCGCAACCCUUAUUGCCAGUUACUACGUUAAGAGGACUCUGGCGAGACUGCCGUUGACAAAACGGAGGAAGGUGGGGAUGACGUCAAAUCAUCAUGCCCUUUAUGACCUGGGCUACACACGUACUACAAUGGCGUUAAACAAAGAGAAGCAAGACCGCGAGGUGGAGCAAAACUCAAAAACAACGUCUCAGUUCAGAUUGCAGGCUGCAACUCGCCUGCAUGAAGUCGGAAUUGCUAGUAAUCGCGGAUCAGCAUGCCGCGGUGAAUACGUUCCCGGGCCUUGCACACACCGCCCGUCA
rnacentral:rRNA from 1 species